GUUGAACGCUGGCGGCAUGCUUUACACAUGCAAGUCGAACGGUAACAGGCCGCAAGGUGCUGACGAGUGGCGAACGGGUGAGUAAUGCAUCGGAACGUGCCCAGUCGUGGGGGAUAACUACUCGAAAGAGUAGCUAAUACCGCAUACGAUCUAUGGAUGAAAGCGGGGGACCGUAAGGCCUCGCGCGAUUGGAGCGGCCGAUGUCAGAUUAGGUAGUUGGUGGGGUAAAGGCUCACCAAGCCAACGAUCUGUAGCUGGUCUGAGAGGACGACCAGCCACACUGGGACUGAGACACGGCCCAGACUCCUACGGGAGGCAGCAGUGGGGAAUUUUGGACAAUGGGCGCAAGCCUGAUCCAGCAAUGCCGCGUGCAGGAAGAAGGCCUUCGGGUUGUAAACUGCUUUUGUACGGAACGAAACGGCUCUGGUUAAUACCCGGGGCUAAUGACGGUACCGUAAGAAUAAGCACCGGCUAACUACGUG
rnacentral:rRNA from 1 species